CCUACGGGCGGCUGCAGUCGAGAAUCAUUCACAAUGGGGGAAACCCUGAUGGUGCGACGCCGCGUGGGGGAAUGAAGGUCUUCGGAUUGUAAACCCCUGUCAUGUGGGAGCAAAUUAAAAAGAUAGUACCACAAGAGGAAGAGACGGCUAACUCUGUGCCAGCAGCCGCGGUAAUACAGAGGUCUCAAGCGAUGUUCGGAAGCACUGGGCGUAAAGCGUGCGUAGGCUGUUUCGUAAGUCGUGUGUGAAAGGCGCGGGCUCAACCCGCGGACGGCACAUGAUACUGCGAGACUAGAGUGAUGGAGGGGGAACCGGAAUUCUCGGUGUAGCAGUGAAAUGCGUAGAUAUCGGGAGGAACACUCGUGGCGAAGGCGAGUUCCUGGACAUUAACUGACGCUGAGGCACGAAGGCCAGGGGAGCGAAAGGGAUUAGAUACCCUAGUAGUC
rnacentral:rRNA from 1 species